UCUUACCUUCGUGUUCUUGAUUAACAAUUCGGUAUAAUUAAUUUGACUUAAUAGGAAGUGUAUUAAUUUAAAUGAAACAAUAGGUAAAAUUGUAGUCUCAAGUCUUCAUUAUCUAGUUUCAUUCUAGGGAUAGUAUUAGUUUAAUUAAUUACUUUAAUUCAAAAUAUCAAAUCAAUCGUUUAAAUAAGAUUAAGUAGGUUACGGGUUGGUACUUGGUAAUUUUCAUUAAAUAAUUCUCUGUGGGAACGAUACUCUACGUACUCUUUAUUACUUGUUGAUCGUGUAUACUUGC
rnacentral:lncRNA from 1 species